rnacentral:rRNA from 1 species
CACGUAGGGUGCGAGCGUUGUCCGGAAUUAUUGGGCGUAAAGAGCUCGUAGGCGGUGUGUCGCGUCGGCCGUGAAAACCUGCAGCUUAACUGUGGGCUUGCUUUCGAUACGGGCAGACUUGAGGCAUGCAGGGGAGAACGGAAUCCUGGUGUAGCGGUGAAAUGCGCAGAUAUCAGGAGGAACACCGGUGGCGAAGGCGGUUCUCUGGGCAUGUUCUGACGCUGAGGAGCGAAAGUGUGGGGAGCGAACAGG